rnacentral:rRNA from 1 species
CAGUCGCCGCGGUAAUACGUAGGGUGCAAGCGUUAAUCGGAAUUACUGGGCGUAAAGCGUGCGCAGGCGGUUAUAUAAGACAGAUGUGAAAUCCCCGGGCUCAACCUGGGAACUGCAUUUGUGACUGUAUAGCUAGAGUACGGCAGAGGGGGAUGGAAUUCCGCGUGUAGCAGUGAAAUGCGUAGAUAUGCGGAGGAACACCGAUGGCGAAGGCAAUCCCCUGGGCCUGUACUGACGCUCAUGCACGAAAGCGUGGGGAGCAAACAGGAUUAGAUACACCAGUAGUCCCUGUCUCUUAUAC